AGCUCCAAUAGCGUAUAUUAAAGUUGUUGCAGUUAAAAAGCUCGUAGUUGGAUUUUGGGUUCGCGUGUCCGGUCUGCCGCGAGGCGUGUACUGGGCGUGUGUUCCUUCCUUCCGGGGCUCGCGCGUGCCCUUUACUGGGCGUGCGCGCUGCGCCGGGACGUUUACUGUGAAAAAAUUAGAGUGUUUAAAGCAGGCCUGUGCUUGAAUACAUUAGCAUGGAAUAAUGAAAUAGGACUUUGGUCCUGUUUUGUUGGUUUCUUGGACCGAGGUAAUGAUUAAUAGGGACAGUUGGGGGCAUUCGUAUUUCAAUGUCAGAGGUGAAAUUCUUGGAUUUUUGAAAGACGAACUUUUGCGAAAGCAUUUGCCAAGGAUGUUUUCA
rnacentral:rRNA from 1 species